rnacentral:rRNA from 1 species
AAAAGGUAACGGAGGCGCUCAAAGGUUCUCUCAGUACGGUCGGAAAUCGUACGUAGAGUGUAAAGGCAAAAGAGAGCUUGAUUGCAAGACAUACAGGUCGAGCAAGGAUGAAAAUCGGACUUAGUGAUCCGGUGGUUCUGCGUGGAAGGGCCAUCGCCCAACGGAUAAAAGCUACCCUGGGGAUAACAGGCUUAUCUCCCCCAAGAGUCCACAUCGACGGGGAGGUUUGGCACC